GAUGAACGCUGGCGGCGUGCCUAAUACAUGCAAGUCGAGCGAACAGACGCGGAGCUUGCUCCUCUGACGUUAGCGGCGGACGGGUGAGUAACACGUGGAUAACCUACCUAUAAGACUGGGAUAACUUCGGGAAACCGGCGCUAAUACCGGAUAAUAUAUUGAACCGCAUGGUUCGAUAGUGAAAGACGGUUUUGCUGUCACUUCUAGCUGGAUCCGCGCCGCAUUAGCUAGUUGGUAAGGUAACGGCUUACCACGGCGACGCUGCGUAGCCGACGUGAGAGGGGGGUCGGCCACACGGGAACUGGGACACGGUCCAGACUCCUACGGGAGGCAGCAGUAGGGAAUCUUCCGCAAUGGGCGAAAGCCUGACGGAGCAGCGCCGCGUGAGUGAUGAAGGUCUUGGGAUCGUAAAACUCUGUUAUUAGGGAAGAACAAAUGUGUAAGUAACUAUGCACGUCUUGACGGUACCUAAUCAGAAAGCCACGGCUAACUACGUG
rnacentral:rRNA from 1 species